rnacentral:rRNA from 1 species
UACGGAGGGUGCAAGCGUUGUUCGGAAUUACUGGGCGUAAAGAGCGUGUAGGCGGCCAGUCAAGUCAGAUGUGAAAUCCCUGAGCUUAACUCAGGAAUUGCAUCUGAAACUGAUCGGCUCGAGUACAGGAGAGGAAGGUGGAAUUCCUGGUGUAGAGGUGAAAUUCGUAGAUAUCGGGAAGAACACCGGUGGCGAAGGCGGCCUUCUGGCCUGAUACUGACGCUGAGACGCGAAAGCGUGGGGAGCAAACAGG